UACAGAGGUCUCAAGCGUUGUUCGGAUUCAUUGGGCGUAAAGGGUGCGUAGGCGGCGCGGUAAGUCGGGUGUGAAAUCUUGGAGCUUAACUCCGAAACUGCAUUCGAUACUGCCGUGCUUGAGGACUGGAGAGGAGACUGGAAUUUACGGUGUAGCGGUGAAAUGCGUAGAUAUCGUAAGGAAGACCAGUGGCGAAGGCGGGUCUCUGGGCCUGACCUGACGCUGAGGAGCGAAAGCGUGGGGAGCGAACAGG
rnacentral:rRNA from 1 species